rnacentral:lncRNA from 1 species
GCCCCAGCCCGCCGCGCCCGGCCGCCGGUGGUGCGUGCCGCCGUGCGGGCGGUAGCGAGUCCGAGAGGCGGGCCCGCGGGCUCCUCUCCAGCCCUCCUUUCCUCUCCCUGCUCCUGCUCCGCGAAGCGGCGCCGCACCGCAGAAAUGAAAAGUUAUGAAAUGUUCCAUUGAGGUCUCAGAGGAAAAGAGGAUAAAAUAAGGAUGCCGAAGCAUUUCACAAAUGUCAGCAAGGAACAGAGCAAGACGUACAUCAUCUUUAUGCAGUGGUAACCAGGUGGAAGCUGCUUGUUUAUGCCAUUGUAUUUGCUGGGCACAUUCGGGAUGCUUGAAAGUGUAGCCACCAUUUCUUUAAAAAUCUUAACCAACUAGUAAACUGCCAGAAGAUUAUUUUUCAUGGACAGUUGUCGGAGUAUAUUGCCUGUAGCAGAACGUCAGCAUCGCUGGGGAACCUGUUAAAAAUGAAAAUUCCUGGGCCCAAUCCCGAGGAGAAACUGGUGUGCUGUUCAGUGGCAGAGCACUUCCCCAGCUUGUG